rnacentral:rRNA from 1 species
CACCUGAAUCCAUGCCGAACUCAGAAGUGAAACGCAGCAGCGCCGAUGGUAGUGUGGGGUCUCCCCAUGUGAGAGUAGGACAUCGCCAAGC